AACGAACGCUGGCGGCAGGCUUAACACAUGCAAGUCGAACGGGUGCAGCAAUGCAUCAGUGGCAGACGGGUGAGUAACACGUGGGAACCUUCCUAGGGGUACGGAACAACUCAGGGAAACUUGAGCUAAUACCGUAUACGUCCGUGAGGAGAAAGAUUUAUCGCCCUUAGACGGGCCCGCGUCGGAUUAGCUAGUUGGUGGGGUAAUGGCCUACCAAGGCGACGAUCCGUAGCUGAUCUUAGAGGAUGAUCAGCCACACUGGGACUGAGACACUGCCCAGACUCCUACGNNNGUCAGUAGUGGGGNAUCUUGGACAAUGGGCGCAAGCCUGAUCCAGCCAUGCCNCGUGAGUGAAGAAGGUCUUCGGAUUGUNANNCNCUUUUGCNNGGGNCGAUAAUGANGGNACCUGGAGAAUAAGCCCCGGCAAACUUCGUGCCAGCCGCCGCAGUAA
rnacentral:rRNA from 1 species